AGUAAACUGAUGAAAAAUAUUUUUAAAAAGACUAGAAAGGAAAAGCCAUCCUUAAAACCUAAAUUGGUAAGAAAUACUAUUUCCAUGGGCUCUUCUUUCACUGAACUGUGACUGUAUUCUGACGAAGCAACAUAAAUGCGUGCCACUGUAUUUACAUAAGACUGGAACAACAACAAAAUCUGCAACUGUCAUGUUUUAUUGCAGCUAAGUUUUUUUUUUAUAUAUACACACCAUAUACUGCCUGUACAUGUGGGACUACUAAGAGUUUUGCAGCAGCAGUGGUCUCUGGCUAAAUGGAAGCAGUGGAUGGUGUCUCUCAGCUAUGCUGAGACAGGGCGUCCCUUGUUGUCUCUGUAAAUCUCUACAACCUCUGUUUUUUCUUCUCAAAGGUAAAUUCAAUUUAGCUAAUUUCCUCCUCAGAAGAGCACAUGAUACACUUAUGAUUUUAGCCUUUUGAAUCCCUUUAUGUUUCUCAAGCACUAGACACUGAGUAUAUGUAGACUAAGUAGCUGGUGAAGGUUGGAGCAGAAUGCAUUGUGUCAAUUGGGUCCUCACAGCUCUACUGGGAAUUGGGUCAUAUGGUUUUUGUUAUGAUGGACCUCUUCAUGCACAGUGCAAAGUGGACUGGUAAGGUUUAUUUGUUUUUCUGCAUAUUUUCAAUUAUUAGUUGUUAGGUUUGAUAUUCCUGAAACACAGCAGCACUUUCCCUUGUUGGCUUUUGUUGAUCUUAAAAGAGGGUCUUUGAAAUGUUACUAAAAAUGUCAUUAGAGGCAUUUGUGAUGUUUUAUAAGCAAUAUAUUCCUGAUACAAUGUAAGAUGCCAGAGGUCAUGUAUUACAUUGAAUAACAGAACAUUCCAAAUAAAAUAAUUUUCAGCAUUAAAAGCCAGUGAUUAUGUUUUUGCUUUUCAAUAAAACUCUCCAGUGGAUAAUAACAUUUAAUAACAAUAACAUGUAAACACAGGAGCUAAUAAAUGCAUUUAUGAAGGUCAAAGUCAGUUUACACUUUAUACAGCAUUUAAACUUCAUUUGAAUUUUUGUGUAAUUAAAAAUGCAUAAAUCAGCUGCAGAAGUCAGACUUUAAAUUGGUUGAAAGCACAGCAGCAGUGUUUUCCUAGCUGCACAACAUCAUGAAACAUUUUUCUUUACAUGAAAAAAAGACUGAAAAAAUCACUGGGGAACUAUUAUGUGGUUUAGUUUGAUGCACAGUGUAAAGGAGUGAGCACAGAUCUGUGCUGUUGUGAAAUUUGAUCAUUAAAAUAUCUUUUAAGAGAACAACAAAUUAUCUAAAAAAGGCUGAAUCAUUUAAUUUAUAGCACAAUCAUAAGGUAACAGCAGUUAAUUAAAGCCAACAUACUAGCUGUAUUAUUUCAUUUUCUGCAGGUACUUUGGAAUACCAUGCAGAGUGGUGUAUGAAUCACUGGUUUUACAAAUUAAAAAAUGGACGUCUGGCUGCACGGUGGGGGGACAGAGGUGCCAGUACAAGCUUCAGUCAGCCUCUGUCCAUUUUAUAACUGCCAAGCACACCAGUCCUCUUAAAAGAUAUGUAGACGACAUCAACUUCCGAUUGGACUCCUAUUACUUCUUUACAUCUUGUCAUGUUUCGGCUAUGUCCAUCUCUGAGACCUGGUAUGCUAUUAGGGACCAUGGCACCAACUACUGCAACCUCUACAAUCUUAUAGAAGGAAGUCGUCUUACUCAGUCCAGGGGGUACAAAGAGGUCACCAGUGAGUUCCUGUGUACUCAGCGCUCCAGGGCAAAUUGCACAAUCUAUUGACUGAACAUUUACAAUCAUCAGAGACAACUACUGGAGAAAACAUCGUUAAGAAAUGUGAAUAAUUUUUUAUAAGUGACCACAUUCAUCCACAUCCUUCAGCCGCCACCCAUAACACACUGCACCCAACCCCUUUGGCCUCUCUCAUGGGUGGUGAGCCCAUCGGGACCCAAGUUUCCUCUUCGGGAGGUGCCCGGCCGGGCUCCAUGGGUGAAACCCCAGCCACCAGGUGCUCAACAGCGUGCCCCACCUCCAGGCCUGGCUCCAGAGUGGGGUCCCGGUGACCCGCAUCCAGGCGAGGGAAUACUGUGUCCAUUUUUGGCAAUAAUCAUAAGGGGUCUGCAGGCUGCACUUUGUCUGUUCCCUCACCUUGAUGCAGAUGUGUAUUUCUAAAAUGCAUUAAAAUUGGGGUUGGGGUGUACGAGACCCCCACUGCUUGAGGCGGCGUGACUUGGAUGACGUCAGCAUAUGACCCCAUGGAAUCGUUGGGAACCCAAAGGUCCUCCUUCAUGCCAAUUUCAGGAGGUCAUCCCCAUCACAGAUUGAAGCUGAAGAUCUUGUGUGGAUUUAAUUAACAUUUAAUUUCCAUUUGGUAUUAAUAAAGUAUUUUUGAAUUGAAUUGAAUUGAAUUGAUGAGCUUGCUAACUCUUUCCACUGUAGAUGAGAUUUGUCUGCCUUUUU